rnacentral:rRNA from 1 species
GAUGAACGCUGGCGGCGUGCCUAAUACAUGCAAGUCGAGCGAACGGACGAGGAGCUUGCUCCUCUGACGUUAGCGGCGGACGGGUGAGUAACACGUGGAUAACCUACCUAUAAGACUGGGAUAACUUCGGGAAACCGGAGCUAAUACCGGAGAAUAUAUUGAACCGCAUGGUUCAAUAGUGAAAGACGGUUUUGCUGUCACUUAUCGAUGGAUCCGCGCCUGUUUAGCUGGUUGGUAAGGUAACGGCCUUCCAAGGCAACGAUGCGUAGCCGAGCUCAGAGGGUGAUCGGCCACACUGGAACUUAGACACGGUCCAGACGCCUACGGGAGGCAGCAGUCGGGAACCUUCCGCAGUGGGCGAAAGCCUGACGGAGCAACGCCGCGUGAGUGAUGAAGGUCUUCGGAUCGUAAAGCUCUGUUAUUAGGGAAGAACAAAUGUGUAAGUAACUAUGCACGUCUUGACGGUACCUAAUCAGAAAGCCACGGCUAACUACGUG